CCAAGGCUUCUGUUGGGUUUAGCAAGUUGUGAGCAAAAGCUGUUGUCACACCUCUGAAGAAAGUGAUGCCAUGGUCAUCUUUCCACAGCGAGGGUUGGACAUACUUUAACUGAGUGAUCGUACUCCAGGAUGCUCUCUUGAUUGAGCUGCGUGGGGGAGAUCUUAUCUCUACACGCCACCAGCAGCCAGGAGAUACCCAGAGAAAGCUCCAUUUUGGGUACAGAAUGAGUUUAGGGACUCUCUAUGGAGAGUCUCUGUAAGAUGGUGUCUGGGCCCUGAGCAGCCUCAUCUGGAGACUCCUACUUGCCUCAGUUUUGGACAAUGGAAAGACGGAAAGAAAGUUUACUUUUCUGUGGCUUUCUCCCUUUUUUGACCUAUGAAUCAUAGAAAGCAGAUGUAAUUUUUAUUUACAUAUGUCGUAUGUUGCCUUUGAGACUUUGGAAAGAAGAUAGAAUUUGAGAGUCACCUCAAGGGGACUCUUCAUUCCCUCGUGUCAACUUGUCACUGAGUCAGGUCAAGGGCACAGCCCAGGGAGAGGCGGCCCUGGUCAGGUCAGCACCCAGAUGGGUUGGUGCAGCUUAAGGGCCCAGGGAGCUCUGUGCAGCUUCAUCCCCAGCUGCACAGAGCAGGAUGCACUCUGGGGGCGGCACAUGAGGCACUGCGGGUCCAGCUCUGGUGCAAACAGAGAGUGAAGGGCUGCAUCUGCCUGUUAAACGCUGCAUACAGUACAGAUCUUCGUGCUGUUGGAAGGCUUCACUGUUGCUGCUGGAAAGAAGGAAAGCUAAGCAAGGAACAGGAUGCAGGUUUCCUUAGCUGUCUGAAUAGUAAUGCCAUGGCUGGAGACACUGGAUUUUUCUGGAAUAAACAGAAGGACCCGUAGUGUUAGGCAGCUGCUGGGUGGAUUGGAUACCACUGGCACAUAAAUGCAGGAUUCACUUGAACCUCUGGUGAGUUCACAGCUUUUCCAGAAUGUCCUGCCAAAGUGCCUCAAGUCUACUCAAUGAGAGAUGGGAAGCUGGG
rnacentral:lncRNA from 1 species